UACAGAGGGUGCGAGCGUUGUCCGGAAUUACUGGGCGUAAAGCGUGCGCAGGCGGCUUUGCAAGACAGAUGUGAAAUCCCCGGGCUUAACCUGGGAACUGCAUUUGUGACUGCAUGGCUGGAGUGCGGCAGAGGGGGAUGGAAUUCCGCGUGUAGCAGUGAAAUGCGUAGAUAUGCGGAGGAACACCGAUGGCGAAGGCAAUCCCCUGGGCCUGCACUGACGCUCAUGCACGAAAGCGUGGGGAGCAAACAGG
rnacentral:rRNA from 1 species